AGCGAACGCUGGCGGCAGGCUUAACACAUGCAAGUCGAACGGGCGUAGCAAUACGUCAGUGGCAGACGGGUGAGUAACACGUGGGAACGUGCCCUUCGGUUCGGAACAACUCAGGGAAACUUGAGCUAAUACCGGAUACGCCCUUACGGGGAAAGAUUUAUCGCCGAAGGAUCGGCCCGCGUCUGAUUAGCUUGUUGGUGAGGUAACGGCUCACCAAGGCGACGAUCAGUAGCUGGUCUGAGAGGAUGAUCAGCCACACUGGGACUGAGACACGGCCCAGACUCCUACGGGAGGCAGCAGUGGGGAAUAUUGGACAAUGGGCGAAAGCCUGAUCCAGCCAUGCCGCGUGAGUGAUGAAGGCCUUAGGGUUGUAAAGCUCUUUUGUCCGGGAAGAUAAUGACUGUACCGGAAGAAUAAGCCCCGGCUAACUUCGUGCCAGCCGCCGCUGUAAAAC
rnacentral:rRNA from 1 species